rnacentral:rRNA from 1 species
CCUACGGGAGGCAGCAGUGGGGAAUAUUGGGCAAUGGGCGCAAGCCUUACCCAGCAAUACCGCGUGAGUGAAGAAGGUCCUCGGAUUGUAAAACUCUUUGAUCAGGGACGAACAGAUGACGGUACCUGAAGAACAAGCUCCGGCUAACUACGUGCCAGCAGCCGCGGUAAAACGUAGGGGGCGAGCAUUGUCCCGAAUGACUGGGCGUAACGGGUGCGUAGGCGGCAUAAUAAGUGAGAAGUGAAAUACCCAGAGCUUAACCCGGGUGCUGCAUCUAAGACUGUUGAGCUUGAGUGCGGGAGAGGUUAAUGGAAUGCCUGGUGUAGCGGUGGAAUGCGUAGAUAUUAGGAAGAACACCAGAGGCGAAGGC